rnacentral:rRNA from 1 species
GAUGAACGCUGGCGGCGUGCCUAAUACAUGCAAGUCGAGCGAACGGACGAGAAGCUUGCUUCUCUGAUGUUAGCGGCGGACGGGUGAGUAACACGUGGAUAACCUACCUAUAAGACUGGGAUAACUUCGGGAAACCGGAGCUAAUACCGGAUGAUAUUUUGAACCGCAUGGUUCAAAAGUGAAAGACGGUCUUGCUGUCACUUAUAGAUGGAUCCGCGCUGCAUUAGCUAGUUGGUAAGGUAACGGCUUACCAAGGCAACGAUGCAUAGCCGACCUGAGAGGGUGAUCGGCCACACUGGAACUGAGACACGGUCCAGACUCCUACGGGAGGCAGCAGUAGGGAAUCUUCCGCAAUGGGCGAAAGCCUGACGGAGCAACGCCGCGUGAGUGAUGAAGGUCUUCGGAUCGUAAAACUCUGUUAUUAGGGAAGAACAUAUGUGUAAGUAACUGUGCACAUCUUGACGGUACCUAAUCAGAAAGCCGCGGCUAACUACGUG